AUUUUUGCUUACAGCUAAAAUUCUUAGUAGACUAAAAAACCAUAGACGCUUCAAAGAAGUAAUCGAGUCGAACUUUGUGCGUUGCGAUGUAUUUCGUCGCGUCACGAAUUUGCCGAUGGACACAAUUUGCUGAAUGCUUUUGGAUUCGACUGCUUCUUGGAGUUUGUUAGACCUAUGCUAACGAAGAAAAUGAUGCACACAACAUUAUCAGCGCAAAGGUUUGCCAUACCUUUAAG